AGCGACAGGCCUAACACAUGCAAGUCGAGGGGCAUCAGGUAUCAGCUUGCUGAUACGCUGGCGACCGGCGCACGGGUGAGUAACGCGUAUGCAAUCUGCCUGUAACAGGGGGAUAACCCGGAGAAAUCCGGCCUAAUACCCCAUAAGGAUGUCUGUCCGCAUGGGCGGUCAUCUAAAGGGUUUCCGGUUACAGAUGGGCAUGCGUUCCAUUAGCUGGUUGGCGGGGUAACGGCCCACCAAGGCGACGAUGGAUAGGGGUUCUGAGAGGAAGGUCCCCCACACUGGUACUGAGACACGGACCAGACUCCUACGGGAGGCAGCAGUGAGGAAUAUCGGUCAAUGGGCGUAAGCCUGAACCAGCCAAGUCGCGUGAAGGAAGACAGCCCUACGGGUCGUAAACUUCUUUUGUAUGGGAGUAAAAGAGUCCACGCGUGGGCUAUUGCAAGUACCAUACGAAUAAGCAUCGGCUAACUCCGUGCCAGCAGCCGCGGUAAUACGGAGGAUGCGAGCGUUAUCCGGAUUUAUUGGGUU
rnacentral:rRNA from 1 species